rnacentral:rRNA from 1 species
GUCGAACGCGUUGGCCCAAUUGAUUGAUGGUGCUUGCACCUGAUUGAUUUUGGUCGCCAACGAGUGGCGGACGGGUGAGUAACACGUAGGUAACCUGCCCAGAAGCGGGGGACAACAUUUGGAAACAGAUGCUAAUACCGCAUAACAGCGUUGUUCGCAUGAACAACGCUUAAAAGAUGGCUUCUCGCUAUCACUUCUGGAUGGACCUGCGGUGCAUUAGCUUGUUGGUGGGGUAACGGCCUACCAAGGCGAUGAUGCAUAGCCGAGUUGAGAGACUGAUCGGCCACAAUGGGACUGAGACACGGCCCAUACUCCUACGGGAGGCAGCAGUAGGGAAUCUUCCACAAUGGGCGCAAGCCUGAUGGAGCAACACCGCGUGAGUGAAGAAGGGUUUCGGCUCGUAAAGCUCUGUUGUUAAAGAAGAACACGUAUGAGAGUAACUGUUCAUACGUUGACGGUAUUUAACCAGAAAGUCACGGCUAACUACGUGCCAGCAGCCGCGGUAAUACGUAGGUGGCAAGCGUUAUCCGGAUUUAUUGGGCGUAAAGAGAGUGCAGGCGGUUUUCUAAGUCUGAUGUGAAAGCCUUCGGCUUAACCGGAGAAGUGCAUCGGAAACUGGAUAACUUGAGUGCAGAAGAGGGUAGUGGAACUCCAUGUGUAGCGGUGGAAUGCGUAGAUAUAUGGAAGAACACCAGUGGCGAAGGCGGCUACCUGGUCUGCAACUGACGCUGAGACUCGAAAGCAUGGGUAGCGAACAGGAUUAGAUACCCUGGUAGUCCAUGCCGUAAACGAUGAGUGCUAGGUGUUGGAGGGUUUCCGCCCUUCAGUGCCGGAGCUAACGCAUUAAGCACUCCGCCUGGGGAGUACGACCGCAAGGUUGAAACUCAAAGGAAUUGACGGGGGCCCGCACAAGCGGUGGAGCAUGUGGUUUAAUUCGAAGCUACGCGAAGAACCUUACCAGGUCUUGACAUCUUGCGCCAACCCUAGAGAUAGGGCGUUUCCUUCGGGAACGCAAUGACAGGUGGUGCAUGGUCGUCGUCAGCUCGUGUCGUGAGAUGUUGGGUUAAGUCCCGCAACGAGCGCAACCCUUGUUACUAGUUGCCAGCAUUAAGUUGGGCACUCUAGUGAGACUGCCGGUGACAAACCGGAGGAAGGUGGGGACGACGUCAGAUCAUCAUGCCCCUUAUGACCUGGGCUACACACGUGCUACAAUGGACGGUACAACGAGUCGCGAACUCGCGAGGGCAAGCAAAUCUCUUAAAACCGUUCUCAGUUCGGACUGCAGGCUGCAACUCGCCUGCACGAAGUCGGAAUCGCUAGUAAUCGCGGAUCAGCAUGCCGCGGUGAAUACGUUCCCGGGCCUUGUACACACCGCCCGUCACACCAUGAGAGUUUGUAACACCCAAAGUCGGUGGGGUAACCUUUUAGGAGCCAGC